UACGAAGGGGGCUAGCGUUGCUCGGAAUCACUGGGCGUAAAGGGUGCGUAGGCGGGUUUUUAAGGCAGGGGGGAAAUCCUGGAGCUCAACUCCAGAACUGCCUUUGAUACUGGCAAUCUCGAGUCCGGGAGAGGUGAGUGGAACUGCGAGUGUAGAGGUGAAAUUCGUAGAUAUUCGCAAGAACACCAGUGGCGAAGGCGGCUCACUGGCCCGGUACUGACGCUGAGGUGCGAAAGCGUGGGGAGCAAACAGG
rnacentral:rRNA from 1 species